rnacentral:rRNA from 1 species
UACAGAGGGUGCGAGCGUUAAUCGGAAUUACUGGCGUAAAGCGCGCGUAGGCGGCUUUGCAAGUCGGGUGUGAAAUCCCCAGGCUUAACCUGGGAACUGCAUUCGAGACUGCAUUGCUAGAGUAUGGGAGAGGGAAGUGGAAUUUCCGGUGUAGCGGUGAAAUGCGUAGAUAUCGGAAGGAACACCAGUGGCGAAAGCGGCUUCCUGGUCCAGCACCGACGUUCAGGCACGAAAGCGUGGGGAGCAACAGG